rnacentral:misc_RNA from 1 species
AGUUGAUGGGAUUUUAUGUUACAUCUUUAAGUUAAGGGACUGUAACAUUACAAUUAGAUAAGUUGACGGUUGUUAAAAUUUAUCCAUUAUUUAUAUGUAUUUUAUUGUCUAAUUAAGUAAAAUCAGAUCGGGGCUGUGGUGUGGGUUGCCUUUUGCUCAAAACCAGCUUCUCGGGAAAGAAUGGUCAACCACAGAUUCUAAUAAUAAUAAAAGGAAUGCUCAAAUACAUGUCACAAAAGUGGUUCUGAUUUUGCUAUAAAAUAGGAUUAGCGCCCAGGAGGCCAGGAAAUAAAAGGGUCUCAAAAACCUCUGUGUCUCCACAAUAAAACAAAAAAUAAAUACACAAAACAAUAAUUAAAUGGCAAAAGUGAUUUCAGGCAGGACCUGACCAGGUUAGUUUGUCACAAAGAGAAAUUGGCCCAAAAUAGAUAAGGUAGACUGAGAGAAAGAGAGAGAGAGAGAG